rnacentral:rRNA from 1 species
AGGACAAACGCUGGCGGCGUACCUAAGACAUGCAAGUCGAACGGACUGCAGGUUUUCGGAUUUGCAGUGAGAGGCGAACGGGUGAGUAACGCGUAGGAACCCGCCUCGACGUGGGGGAUAACACUUGGAAACAGGUGCUAAUACCGCAUGUGGUCGGAAGAAGAAAGGCUUGAGGAAUCAAGUCGCGUUGAGAGGGGCCUGCGUUCGAUUAGCUAGUUGGUGGGUAAAGCCUACCAAGGCGACGAUCGGUAGC